UUGACCUCAAAUCAGGUAAGACUACCCGCUGAACUUAAGCAUAUCAAUAAGCGGAGGAAA
rnacentral:rRNA from 1 species